rnacentral:rRNA from 1 species
GUCGAGGGGCAUCAGGAAGAAAGCUUGCUUUCUUUGCUGGCGACCGGCGCACGGGUGAGUAACACGUAUCCACCUGCCCUUUACUCGGGGAUAGCCUUUCGAAAGAAAGAUUAAUACCCGAUGGCAUAAUGAUUCCGCAUGGUUUCAUUAUUAAAGGAUUCCGGUAAAGGAUGGGGAUGCGUUCCAUUAGGUUGUUGGUGAGGUAACGGCUCACCAAGCCUUCGAUGGAUAGGGGUUCUGAGAGGAAGGUCCCCCACAUUGGAACUGAGACACGGUCCAAACUCCUACGGGAGGCAGCAGUGAGGAAUAUUGGUCAAUGGGCGGUAGCCUGAACCAGCCAAGUAGCGUGAAGGAUGAAGGCUCUAUGGGUCGUAAACUUCUUUUAUAUAAGAAUAAAGUGCAGUAUGUAUACUGUUUUGUAUGUAUUAUAUGAAUAAGGAUCGGCUAACUCCGUGCCAGCAGCCGCGGUAAUACGGAGGAUCCGAGCGUUAUCCGGAUUUAUUGGGUUUAAAGGGAGCGUAGGUGGACUGGUAAGUCAGUUGUGAAAGUUUGCGGCUCAACCGUAAAAUUGCAGUUGAUACUGUCAGUCUUGAGUACAGUAGAGGUGGGCGGAAUUCGUGGUGUAGCGGUGAAAUGCUUAGAUAUCACGAAGAACUCCGAUUGCGAAGGCAGCUCACUGGACUGCAACUGACACUGAUGCUCGAAAGUGUGGGUAUCAAACAGGAUUAGAUACCCUGGUAGUCCACACAGUAAACGAUGAAUACUCGCUGUUUGCGAUAUACAGUAAGCGGCCAAGCGAAAGCAUUAAGUAUUCCACCUGGGGAGUACGCCGGCAACGGUGAAACUCAAAGGAAUUGACGGGGGCCCGCACAAGCGGAGGAACAUGUGGUUUAAUUCGAUGAUACGCGAGGAACCUUACCCGGGCUUAAAUUGCAGUGGAAUGAUGUGGAAACAUGUCAGUGAGCAAUCACCGCUGUGAAGGUGCUGCAUGGUUGUCGUCAGCUCGUGCCGUGAGGUGUCGGCUUAAGUGCCAUAACGAGCGCAACCCUUAUCUUCAGUUACUAACAGGUCAUGCUGAGGACUCUGGAGAGACUGCCGUCGUAAGAUGUGAGGAAGGUGGGGAUGACGUCAAAUCAGCACGGCCCUUACGUCCGGGGCUACACACGUGUUACAAUGGGGGGUACAGAAGGCAGCUAGCGGGUGACCGUAUGCUAAUCCCAAAAUCCUCUCUCAGUUCGGAUCGAAGUCUGCAACCCGACUUCGUGAAGCUGGAUUCGCUAGUAAUCGCGCAUCAGCCACGGCGCGGUGAAUACGUUCCCGGGCCUUGUACACACCGCCCGUCAAGCCAUGGGAGCCGGGGGUACCUGAAGUACGUAACCGCAAGGAUCGUCCUAG